UACGAAGGGGGGCUAGCGUUGUUCGGAAUCACUGGGCGUAAAGCGCACGCAGGCGGAUUGAUAAGUCAGGGGUGAAAUCCCGGAGCUCAACUUCGGAAUUGCCUUUGAUACUGAGAGUCUUGAGUUCGGGAGAGGUGAGUGGAACUGCGAGUGUAGAGGUGAAAUUCGUAGAUAUUCGCAAGAACACCAGUGGCGAAGGCGGCUCACUGGCCCGAUACUGACGCUGAGGCACGAAAGCGUGGGGAGCAAACAGG
rnacentral:rRNA from 1 species